UACGGAGGGUGCGAGCGUUAUCCGGAUUCACUGGGUUUAAAGGGUGCGUAGGUGGGUUGGUAAGUCAGUGGUGAAGUCUCCGGGCUUAACCUGGAAACUGCCAUUGAUACUAUCAAUCUUGAAUACCUUGGAGGUGAGCGGAAUAUGUCAUGUAGCGGUGAAAUGCUUAGAUAUGACAUAGAACACCAAUUGCGAAGGCAGCUCACUACACGGUCAUUGACACUGAGGCACGAAAGCGUGGGGAUCAAACAGG
rnacentral:rRNA from 1 species